ensembl:lncRNA
GUGGAAGCAGAGACAUAUUGCUGGAGAUCUCUGUGUAUCUAAGGCUUUCUGAAGGUGCUACCCAGGUAUCUGCAGCCCUUACCCUAUCCCUGUGAAAAAUGUUCAAUCCAUGACCUCUAUUUACACUGUGACAAUUCCCUAUGAAGCACUCCUAGAAAUCUCCAUCAGGACAGCUGCAAAGGAAUCAAGGGGCAGUCCCUCUGAAACAGAAGUAUUUUUCAAAGAGAAGGCACUGCUCAGAGGGGUGGACUUCUGUUUGCUGUGGACCAUCUCAGACCUCAGUUUAACUCUUCCUGAGUAUCCAUAGCUCCAGAGGCAGUGAGGCUGCUCAUUCAAGCUGCUGUUGCAGAACGUGCAGUGUAACCAAACAGCAACAAAAAUCAGGAUCUUUGAUAUCACUGGAGUACAUCAGCAACUGAAAAUAAAGAGCGAGAUGCUUGGCAUGGGGGUGCACACAACCUGUUACAAGUCUUUUCACACAGGGCCAGGUGCCACAGGGAAAGCCGGGAGAGAAACAACCGUUCACUGUGGACAAAGCUAUAAGACUGCAUUCCUGCCUGGAAAACCUCUGCAACUACAGUCAAGUGACAACACCUUUCCGUUGAAGCAGUUUCACACGUGCCAGAAACUGCUACACAAUGCCAUAAGCAGCAAAGAAGCUGAGCAGGAGGUGACUUGAAACAGCCAGUCUGAAUGCCAUAUGGGAUUUCCACGUCAGGGUUUCAGCUCUGUUGUGCAUCAACAAGCUUGAACUGGUACCAUGAAGAAAAGAUUAGCAUUACAUUUCGUUGUUGUGUAUUUGGUGCUGCGUCUACCUAAGGACAAAUAUUUCCUGAGAAGCAGAGCUCUGCAAAACUGAACUCCAUGGUCUUUUCUGUAGCUCAAAGCCUGCAACAUCCCUUUCCAUCUGCUGCGCUUCUACUCUGGUACGGGCUGAAGCCACAGAGUAGUGGAUUCCUUGGAACUUCUCAGCCAUGUUUGUUUGUUAUUGCCUUCAAGUCAGCUUUGGGAGUCUGUGCAAGAAAUAAAGGUAGAAUCUGGCUCUGCAUUUUGCAACAGAUGCUUUUCCCCAUGUAGUAGAUUUGUACCUUUGUGCUACUUCAGGGACUGAGUAAAAUGGACUCAUCAUGCCUGAAACUCAAGUCAGAGAUGUGUGAUGCAUAGCCAUUCCACAAUAUUCUUCUAUGCUUGCAACACCUACAAAAUAGAACCUAAAACGUACUUUGCUAGUUUGCAGGGGCAAAUGAAUUUGUUACUUUGCUUCUAUGCAUCAGCUUUAGUUUAGCUUAGAGCGCAUUUUAAAACACUCCUGUGACAUCAGUCCUUGCAAGCCCUUACAAACAAACCAGUUUUAAAUGAGUGUGGGAAUUCCUGCAGUAUUAUGACAGACACUCAUCACUGACAGAGGAAACAAAUAAAAUCUAAUUGCCCAGUUUGCUUGUGAGGGUUCCCUGGAAAAGAUCAGCCAUCAAACAGUUUGAAAUUAGCUUCCUAGCUGAAGGAUUCUCUUUUGUUUCUCACACAAAUAAACGGGGAUGCUUGGCUUUCCAAAACAGGCACUGUUAAAGAGAUACAAGUAUAGAGUUCUCACCACAUACAUUUUAUAUAUAUAUAUAUAUAUAUUAACAUUUAGCUGGCAGGUUUCAGUUUUAUAGGUAAGACUCCAAUUCUGAUCACUAAACACAUGCCAAAAGUUAGAUGCAAUCCCAAUGAGCUUCUUGCACACCCACACCCCUGUAGCGUUAUUCUUCUCAACCUUCUAAGCAUCCCCUCCGAUUUUGUGAACAACCACAAAGCAUGUUUGGCAGUAAUUCUGCUGUAACUGCUCUUCUGUGAGGAUGUUACAACAGAUCAGUUGAAAGCAAAGUUAAAUACAACGAAAGUAAAUACAAAACAGUAUCAAAGCAAAAGAUGUAGGGGUGUAGGAAAAACAAACAAACAUAAUGUCAGGAAAAAAAAAGACAGGUUUGGAGAUGAGAGAUUAUGGGAGUGAUGCAAGAAGAACAGGGAUGGAUAGAGAAGGGACUAGGAAUGAAAAUAAAAGAAUGACACAGGAGAAACUGACAUCAACGUUUUUAUUACAAGAUAAGUGCAAGUUACUGUCAUUAUAGCUUCUCUAAUUAUCUUUCAACCUUUUUUUUUUUCAAUAUAUAUAUACAUGAUGUCCAUAUGUUGCAAAUAACAGGGUUUUAUGACUUUUGUUCUCUCACCUUUCCCAUAGCUUACAUUCCAUUUUAAUUGCUACACUGAUAUCAGAUGCUUCACUUAAUGAUCUUGCACCAGUGCUCCCUAUUUGUGGUGAUAACGCUCUUGGGGGAGCAAAACCACCUGCCUCGUGGUUGUAGGCUACGUGCUGUUCUCGUGGACGUCCACUAGAUGGCAAAGCCGGUAUUUUUGUUGAGUUUACAUGCCACCUUCAGCUAAUAACUAACCCUAGGGUAUGUGCACAGGCUAAAAAUGGCGAUUAAAGGACACCGAAUGGUGUCUCCGUGGAAAAGAGUGUAUUUCCUAGGGUUAAUAACAAAACAGGAGAAUGAAAGACUCAGUUAUAAAAUGGUGAUGCUCUCAGGAAAGCACAGUGUUCUCUCUAUUCUCUGUGAAUCUCUGUAGGAGUCAUCUCUGAGGUAGAAUCGUUUGUUUUCCAGUGGAAAUAAAUUCUAUGGAGAUAAUAAUA